rnacentral:rRNA from 1 species
GGGGAAUUUUCCUGCAAUGGGCGAAAGCCUGACGGAGCAAUCUCGCGUGAGGGAUGACUGCCUAUGGGUUGUAAACCUCUUUUUUCAGGGGAGGAACAAAAUGACGUGUACCUGAAGAAUAAGCAUCGGCUAACUCCGUGCCAGCAGCCGCGGUAAGACGGAGGAUGCAAGUGUUAUCCGGAAUCACUGGGCGUAAAGCGUCUGUAGGUGGUCCAAUAAGUCAACUGUUAAAUCUUGAGGCUCAACUUCAAAAUCGCAGUUGAAACUAUUAGACUAGAGUAUAGUAGGGGUAAAGGGAAUUUCCAGUGGAGCGGUGAAAUGCGUANAGAUUGGAAAGAACACCGAUGGCGAAGGCACUUUACUGGGCUAUUACUGACACUCAGAGACGAAAGCUAGGGUAGCAAAUGGGAUUAGAUACCCCAGUAGUC